UAAUAGGAGCAGCAACCAUCAUGACACAUGGAUACCUAUGUAACAGACCUGCAUGUUCUGCAGAUGUAUUCCAGAACUUAAAGUUAAAAAAAAAAAAAAAAAAGAAAACAUAGUCCUUGUUAGACUGAGGAUUCAGGAAGAACCGGAUGGGCAGGGCAGGAGGGUUUUUACUUGGAACCUGGAAAAUGAGGAAUGACAUCCUCUCCCCACCCUGCAGCUCAGCCCCAGAGUCCACCUUCUAGGUGCAGGAGCAGCACAAUGGCGCCACCUGGUGAUCAGUCCUCUUCCUUUCCCAGAUCAAGCACAGCCCUGAAAUCCACCUGUCCCUCCUGUGUGCCUGGGAUUUCUUCACUGGACACCAGCCAGAGUCAGCUUUCCUGUAAAGCAGAAAAAGCAUGAGGUUAAACCAUUUUAGGGGAGGAAUAAUAUCUCCACCUCUGGAGAGAUCCCUGUCACUGUGUUCAGUGGAAGGGCCAAGCCUCACUACCCAUGCAGAGAGGAGGCUCUGGCCAUAAUGGCACCUGUGGAGAGCUGAGGACCUGUGUCUUCUACACUGAUGGCCAAAGCCUUCAGACUGUGUGAUGGCUUCCCCUCAGGUGUGUCCUAUCAGGUUCACCGAGGCCUCAAGAAAUGCACCACACUCACCACCUCCAGUGGUGUUGAAAUGGCACUGUUUGGGGUACAUACCCAUGCUUGUUGUCCUGUGAUGGUUAAUGACAAGGACAUACAUGUGGAGCAGGUUAAGGAGCAGAAAGUUUAAUAGACAAAGAAGAGAGAGAAAUCUUUAUCAUACAGAGAAGACAGGUUGCUCCAAUUGGGUUUCAGGAUUUGGGGUGGGAUGCAACCGACUUUAUGGAGAGGCUUUAGGAGGCAGUGAUUGAUUUACAUAGGGCUCAGAAGAUUGGUUGGACCAGGUGUGCCAUUUACAUAGCCUGUGAAGAAACUGGCCCUCCCACCCUAGUCUUUUAUUAUGCAAAUGUAGCCUCUACCUGCCUGGCAUCCUGACCUGCACACUCGGCUUUGACUGGUGCCAUGAAACUCACACAUGAGUAGACAAAGAAAAGGGAGGGGGAACCGCCAUGUUGGGUGUACCUGGCUUUUAGUACAGCUGCCGGCAUUUACAUAUGCAAGCUUCCAGUUUGCAGCUUUUCAGGCUUUCUGUUAGAAAAGAAAUAGUUUUGGGACUCUUUUUAUGAAAGAAAAAUUCCACUGAGAACUCUUUUAUCCUCUCUGUCUAAAAUAAUUUCUUAAUAACUUCUGCAUUAUUCCCCUCAGGAGUGAUAACCGUAACUGCUGUUAAAAGGUGUUGGGCAAUGAUUAUUUUUGGCUACUUUCUGCUGAGAAGGGGUUGUCGUGUGGGGACAGCAGUUGGAGCUUUUCCUGAGGUUGAUUUAAGAGUCCUCAGAAGAAUGACAUGACCAUGUGUGGCUCUGUUUUCAGCACCACUUGGAGUUUGAUUGCUUCUAGGUGAAAGGAGAUAAAUUUUACAAAAGGCUUUAAAAUAUAGAGUUAGAAUACGAGGAUUAAGAUUACCAUUAUUAAUGAGGGUAGUAUACACCGUAAUUAUGACAGUAGAGUGACACCUGUUAGUUAUUUUAAUAAUUGUAAUACCAGUUUGCCUCCACUAGAUGUCACUGUACAUUAUUAGAAAUCUUCAUAUAAAAACAUUUUACUUUGGGAAAAAGAUAUUUUUCUGCUUGACUUGCCAUUAGGUGAUAACUUUAGGUUUACACCAUUUUUUAUAACUUGCAAUAUGAUUUGGAGACAUACAUCACUGGGUGGCUAAAAUACCUGCUUUGGUCCACAUAAAUCCACUUUUAAAAAGUAAAGAUUUUGUCGAUCUUUUAACAAAUCCAUUUUCCUCCUUUAUCUCUGCAUUCAGUUAACCCUUGCACACCCUUUGUUUAGUAUAUAUUGAAAUGUGUCACUUCCAAAUCUAGUAGCUAUUCAUGGUACCACUAUGACCUCAGUACAGCUCUGAUUCCUUUAGCACAGAGAAUGUAUUCUCGAUUCUGCUCUGGAUGAUGUAAAUCCAUUUAUUUUUUUUUUACUUGUUUGGGAUGUUGCUCCUCAUCUGUAAAAUGUAAAUGUGGACAUGGCCUGAAUUACUAAGUGGUUUUAUUUCUUCAUUCCUCUGAUAUUCGUUGUGCACCUACUGCAAGUCAAACACAUGGCAUGACAUUGUUUCCUUGAUCACCCACAUCACAUGAGAAAAUGAGACAUUAUAGCCAGCUGUGGGGGCGCACACCUGUAGUCCUAGCUCCUUGGGAGGCUGAGGCAGGAGAAUCACUUCAGACCAGGAGUGUGAGGUUACAGUGAGGUAUAAUAUCACCAUUGCAUUUCAGCCUGGGCAACAGACCCUGUCUCUGAAGAAAAAUAAAGACAUUGUGAGCUGUCUACACUGACUGUGUCUCAUGAGAUUCAUGUCCUGUAAUUUCUCUAAAUGGCAUCUCCAUGUGGUUUCCAUGAAUGUGUGUCUGGCAUUUCUUUUCUAUCCUUUACUUUCAAAUUUUCUGUAUCUUCUACUGAAAUUUAUGGCUUUUGUAAAUAGACUGUGGUUAUUUAUGGAUUGACUUAUUUUCCCCCUCUGCACUAUUUGUCUUGUCAUUGGAGUGUGUGAGUCCAUUACGUUUAAUGUCAUUGUUGGCCUCAUUGGGUUUAAGUCUGUGCAUUGUCAUUUGCUACCUUCUAAUAUUAUCUGUUUUUCACUCAACUAUUUUUCUUCUGUUGCCUUCUUUAGAUGAAUAAGAAACUUUACAUUAUUGUGCUCUUCCAAAUAACUGUUUCAGUUACAAUUUCUCUUAUUAUUUCUUUAAUUAUCUGAGAAAGCACAAUAAUCCAUGACUUAUUAUAACCAACAGCAGACCAUAACUUCCCUGACCUUCACCUACCUGUGCAGACAGCCCAGGGAGAAUCAGUGCUCUGGCUCUGAGACACAGCAGGUGGAAGCAGGAUAGUAACUAGAUGGUGAAGCUGUAGCUGCAGAGGCAUCCGGCCCCUCACCUGCACUCCUCAUACAUGUCUCCUCCACUGAAUGCUUGCAAUGCCCUCUCCUCCAUAUGCUCCUGCGGGAGUCUUCCCAUCUCCACUGACAGCAGCUCCACCCUUCUACUCACUCAGUCCAACACUGUGGGUGUCCUUAAUUCUUCUUUCUCACACCACAGAUACAAUCCAUUAGUAAGUGCUGUGAAGUCCAUCUUUAAAUUCAUCCAGAAUCCCAUCACUCCCACCAUUUCCCCUGCUCACACCCCAGUCAAGGUAACCAGCAUCUCCAUCCUGGAAUACUGCACUCCUUCCCCACCAUUUCCCUACUGCCUGACUUGUCCCCCACUUCUCAAUUCUGUUCUCAGCACAGCAGCCAGAGACAAGCUUUCAAAGUAUAAGUCCUACCAUGUCCCAGUUUUCAAAACUGUCCUCUAACUCUCCAUGUCAUUCAGAGCAAAGGUCAAAACCCAUCCCACACCCUCCAGGCCUUUCUGCUCUGGCCACACCUCUGACCUCAUUUCAGUUUCUCUCUGUCCAGCCCUUCUGGCCUCUUCCUCCUUCCAGAAACACAGACACUUUCCUGCCCUGGUGCAUCUGCACUGAAGGUUCCUGCCUGAAAAGAGCUUCCCCAUCAUCCUUGUGGACAGCUCCUCACAUCCCUCAAAUCUUCACUCAAAGGUCACAUUUGCAACGAGGCCCAUGCUGACCACCCAGCACAACAGCCACCUCUCUGUCCCCACAGCCCACACUCUGGAUCACCUGCCCCACAGCACUUGCCACCUUCUAACUCAAACAUUUUCUGCUCUUACUCUGCUUAUACUAUAUCUAUAUUCUACCUAGAGAGGUGUCCAAUCUUUUGGCUUCCCUGGACCGCACGGGAAGUAUAAUUGUCUUGAGCCACACACAAAAUACACUAAUGACAGCUAAUGAGCAGUAAAAAAUAGAAACAAGAAAAAAAAGUAUGUGCAAAAAUUUCAUAUCUGCCACCACAGAUAAGCAGGGACCUCCUCAUAUUGGAAGCUGUCCUUGGCCACAUGCAGCCUGUGAGCCACAGGUUGGAUAAGAUUGCAUCUAGAACGCAUAUACCAGAAGGCUAGAAAUUCUUCUGUUUUUACUAAAAUGUUUUCUAAAUGCAAAAGCAGUCAUAUACCUAGCAGACAACAAAUGUCAGUUGAAUGAAUGAUCACUGAAGGGCACCUCCUUAUUUAAAGGCAAUAUCUUUAUUAAUGUAGCCUCAGGCCAAAUGCCGUUCUGUGGCAGCUGAAGAGCAACAUCAUCUCACACUGACAUCAGUGCUGCCAGAGCUUUUCUCACCAGGGCUGCAUGUGUGCCCUCCCUUCCUGCCUCCCUCCUCCCACACGCUGCAGCACACAACCAUAUUUUUCCCUUAGGAAAGAUAACCCUAGGCUUGUGGGUCUGAUUUUCCAACCACAUAUGAAUCUUAGUUAGACUCUGCUUUAUAAAUCCAUGAGUUUGGUUUGGAGGCAGCACUAGGAUCACUACGACUCAGGCACGAAGAAGAGUAGAAGAUAGAGCAGAAGAGAGUUCCAACAGAAAGUUACCUAUGAUGAGAAACUAUGGGAGCCCUCCCCUCUGCAAGUUUCAGAAUCUGUUUGUUUAAGAAGGUUGGGGGAAAGAUGGAAAAUACAAUCCAGGAAAGAGACCUGGACGGAGGGUGAGAGGGACAGGGGUCUGAAAAUUUGUCUCCAGAUACCACAGGACUUCAAUGUGUAGAGACCACCCUAGGUGACACUCAAGUCCCUGUGGUCACAGGGACGCGCUUCUACUGAAGGGCCAAGGAUGAUGGAGCAGCGAAGAUGACCCAGCCAAGCAGUGACCACAUAAAGCCCACAGUAGCCUGCACACCCACUGGACUCAGUCCCAUCAACUCUCCAGCCCUGCAACAAAUCAGCACAAGAAACACGUGGACGGUGGAAGUUUCUCAGGUCUUCCAUUUAUUUUGUCUCACAAAUUUCAGGAAUCUUCUCCUUUAUUUAACCCAUCAAUGUCUCAUGGAAAUAAUUUGAAGAAGUAAAUUACAUUCAGAUUCUAAUUUUAAUAGGAAAGUAAGAAGUUACCGCUCAGUGCAUCAUGAAGUUGAGACAGAGGUGGAGACAUCCCAGUCCCAGGUCUCUGGAACAGGAAAGGUGACCGGGGAAGGAAUGCAGGUCAGCGUGGGGAAGGGGUCAGGGUG